rnacentral:pre_miRNA from 1 species
GAUUUCAACUGAAAAAGUCAUCAACAAUAAAGUUGUAUAACUCAUCAAGAUCUAUAAUUUUUAUUUUGAUCAUUUCUUCAUCCGAUGAAGUGAUAGUAAAAUUGUUCAUAAAAUUUACAUUUCUUUCGUAUGGUUUAUAAACUACAAUAGAGAUAUACAAAUUUUGUGAACAAUUUUACUAUAACUUUAUCGGAUGAAGAAAUGAUCAAAAUAAAAGUUGUAUGUCUUGAUGUGUUCUACAACUUUUAUAUUCAUGACUUUUUCAGCUGAAAUU